rnacentral:rRNA from 1 species
ACUCCUACGGGAGGCAUCAGUAAGGAAUAUUGGACAAUGGUCGGAAGACUGAUCCAGCCAUGCCGCAUGAAGGAUGAAGGCGCUCAGCGUUGUAAACUUCUUUUGUACGGGAACAAAAUGCGACCUGCGGGUUGUACUGAGGGUACCGUAAGAAUAAGCACCGGCUAACUCCGUGCCAGCAGCCGCGGUAAUAC